GCAUAUCACUAAGCGGAGGAAAAGAAACUAACAAGGAUUCCCCUAGUAACUGCGAGUGAAGAGGGAAAAGCCCAGCACCGAAGGUAGUAUCCGUUUGGGUACCUACCAAUGUGGUGUUUUGGUCAGCUCGUAUGAGUGCGGCUCCAUCUCAAGUCCAGCAAUGAGUACGGUUUUUUGGACUUGGCCCAGAGUGGGUGAAAGGCCCGUUGAGGUGGAGAUCAGGUAUGACCGCGCUUGUCGAGUUUGACCAUGGAGUCGGGUUGUUUGUGAAUGCAGCCCUAAGUGGGUGGUAAACUCCAUCCAAGGCUAAAUACUUGCACGAGUCCGAUAGCGAACAAGUACCGUGAGGGAAAGUUGAAAAGUACUUUGAAGAGAGAGUAAACAGUGCGUGAAGCCGCAUAGAGGUUAAACGGGUAGAGUUAAGCUGCGUGGGUCAUGGAUUCAGCUGGUGAACCUGACUUGUGCUUGGGCACAUUGUAUCGUCUUCUGAGUCUGCUUAGCUGCAGGUUCCAGGUCCCCUGGGAUAUGCGAUGCACUUACUGGGUGCUGCAUGCUUAGUUGAUGAGAUGUCAGUUCGUCAGUGCACUUCCAUGGCUCCUUGACCACGAUCGGUGUCAUUGAGUUGCCCUCGUUGACAAACUGUGGAUGUAGGCCAAAACCUAUGUCUUCGGUGUGACAGCACCCCUGUGAAUGCAGGUCGCAGUUGUCAACGGGAAGUAAUUCAGUGGACCGGGACAGCGGCCUUGGUUCCCUUUGCAUGCUCUGCUAGGUGGUUUUGUGUAUGGUUAUCGUGUGCCUGUGCAAACAGGCCCGUUAACUACACAUUGUUAUCUAGUAGAGUCUUGUUUGGGGAACCUUCUCAUGGGCCAAAGUCAGUGGUGUGUGCUAAACUUUCUACCCGA
rnacentral:rRNA from 1 species